CGAACGGUAACAGGGAGCUUGCUCCGCUGACGAGUGGCGAACGGGUGAGUAAUAUAUCGGAACGUACCAUUCAGUGGGGGAUAACGUAGCGAAAGUUACGCUAAUACCGCAUAUUCUGUGAGCAGGAAAGCAGGGGAUCGCAAGACCUUGCGCUGAUUGAGCGGCCGAUAUCAGAUUAGCUUGUUGGUGAGGUAAAAGCUCACCAAGGCGACGAUCUGUAGCGGGUCUGAGAGGAUGAUCCGCCACACUGGAACUGAGACACGGUCCAGACUCCUACGGGAGGCAGCAGUGGGGAAUUUUGGACAAUGGGGGCAACCCUGAUCCAGCCAUGCCGCGUGAGUGAAGAAGGCCUUCGGGUUGUAAAGCUCUUUCAGCCGGGAAGAAAACGCAUGGGUUAAUACCCUGUGUGGAUGACGGUACCGGAAUAAGAAGCACCGGCUAACUACGUGCCAGCAGCCGCGGUAAUACGUAGGGUGCGAGCGUUAAUCGGAAUUACUGGGCGUAAAGCGUGCGCAGGCGGUUUUGUAAGACAGGCGUGAAAUCCCCGGGCUUAACCUGGGAACUGCGUUUGUGACUGCAAGGCUAGAGUACGGCAGAGGGGGGUGGAAUUCCACGUGUAGCAGUGAAAUGCGUAGAGAUGUGGAGGAACACCAAUGGCGAAGGCAGCCCCCUGGGUCGAUACUGACGCUCAUGCACGAAAGCGUGGGUAGCAAACAGGAUUAGAUACCCUGGUAGUCCACGCCCUAAACGAUGUCAACUAGGUGUUGGGAGGGUAAAACCUUUUAGUACCGGAGCUAACGCGUGAAGUUGACCGCCUGGGGAGUACGGCCGCAAGGUUAAAACUCAAAGGAAUUGACGGGGACCCGCACAAGCGGUGGAUGAUGUGGAUUAAUUCGAUGCAACGCGAAAAACCUUACCUACCCUUGACAUGCCAAGAACUUUCCAGAGAUGGAUUGGUGCCCGAAAGGGAACUUGGACACAGGUGCUGCAUGGCUGUCGUCAGCUCGUGUCGUGAGAUGUUGGGUUAAGUCCCGCAACGAGCGCAACCCUUGUCGUUAAUUGCCAUCAUUUAGUUGGGCUCUUUAACGAGACUGCCGGUGACAAACCGGAGGAAGGUGGGGAUGACGUCAAGUCCUCAUGGCCCUUAUGGGUAGGGCUUCACACGUCAUACAAUGGUCGGUACAAAGGGUCGCCGAGCCGCGA
rnacentral:rRNA from 1 species